ACGCCACCGCUUUUGUAUCGAAUGAUGUCUUCGUUUAAUAAAUGUCCUGAAAAGGAUUCAAAUUUCAGAGCUGCAAUCACCAGUAACGUUCCAAGCCUGCGGCUAUCAGCUUUGUCAGUAUGAAAAUGUGGAGGGUGACCAACAAGCUUAGACUUGUAUCUUAUUUGAAUGCUGUGAUUAUCCAGCGCAGUUUUGGCUCCCCCAGGAGGAAGGUGUGUAGCCAACUCUGUGCGCGCAUAUGUGCACAAGUUUUUGUGGCAUAGAAAGUCUAUCAUGUUGCCAGUUGUUUGUAUUAGUCAGAGCGCCUAAUUAUAUCAUGGGAGAUGGAGACCAGUGCCUGCUCGGGAUGGAUUGGAUUGGCAGGCCGGAGAUGCUCAUUAUGGGAUGUGACUGAUCUCUGGGUGAAUGGAAGAUGAAACGUUGGCGGUCUCUUAGGUGCCAAGCCCUCUCCUUGAUACUGGGAGACUUGAAGAUGCAGUCUGCAGUUUCAUUUUUGGUUGUGAUUUUCUGCGUUUGUUCCUCUGAUGAUCUCCAGACUGCAGCUGGCCAGAGGGUUCACAGCAGACAGGGGAUGGACUCUCUCCAUACUCAACCACUAUCUUGGGCCUUCACACAGAUUUCCCCCCAACUGGCUCCUGUUCAUCAUAAUGUGUUACCAGGAACUAAUUUUGUGGAAAAAAAUGAUUCUAGGACUCAAAAUUGAGAGUUUCAAGUUUCAAAUUCCUGUGUGUGUGUGUGUGUGUGUGUGACUCGUUUCCUCUUCUGUGCAUCACUUUGGAUAAAAGCUACUAAUUACAAUAGUACAGUGUGAUUAUGCUACAAAUUCCUUGAAGAGGCAGGGCAUUAAAAGUGGCAAUUUAAUGAGAUCCAUUAGACAUACCAUGAGCUGAUUAUUGGAAUGGUAUACUGUCCCCCCCUCUCACUCGUCCAGAUCUCCUCCUGGUUGGGUAUAAUGAAGGUUGCCUGGAAAUAAACAUGAUAUAGAAUUCUACAUAUUUCUGAACAUAAUUUAUAUUUAUGUAGUUCUCCACUUAUUCACUAGCCUGACAAGCCAGACCCACAUUAAAAUGUAGGGUCUGGGCACUCACCGUUCGCAGUGC